rnacentral:rRNA from 1 species
UGUAAGCGUAUACCAAAGUUGUUGCAGUUAAAACGCUCGUAGUCGGAAUUCGGCAGUUCCGGAUGUGUGCACGUCGUGUGCGCACUUCGCGGGGAUUGCUUUUGUGGUCUUGCGUAGGAUGAGGCACUUUUAUUAGUGAACGUCCUCACGCAACCACUUUUUACUGUGAGAAAAUCAGAGUGCUCAAAGCAGGCAUUUGCCGUGAAUGUAUUAGCAUGGAAUAAUAGAAUAGGACUUGGUUCUAUUUUGUUGGUUUGUUGGGACUGAGUAAUGAUUAAGAGGGACAGUUGGGGGCAUUUGUAUUUCGGUGCUAGAGGUGAAAUUCUUAGAUUACCGAAAGACAAACUGCUGCGAAAGCGUCUGCCAAGGAUGUUUUCAUUGA